rnacentral:rRNA from 1 species
UACAGAGGGGGCAAGCGUUGUUCGGAAUUACUGGGCGUAAAGGGCGCGUAGGCGGCCGCCUAAGUCAGACGUGAAAUCCCUCGGCUCAACCGGGGAACUGCGUCUGAUACUGGGUGGCUUGAAUCCGGGAGAGGGAUGCGGAAUUCCAGGUGUAGCGGUGAAAUGCGUAGAUAUCUGGAGGAACACCGGUGGCGAAGGCGGCAUCCUGGACCGGCAUUGACGCUGAGGCGCGAAAGCCAGGGGAGCGAACGGG